rnacentral:rRNA from 1 species
GAUGAACGCUGGCGGCGUGCCUAAUACAUGCAAGUCGAGCGAACGGACGAGAAGCUUGCUUUUCUGAUGUUAGCGGCGGACGGGUGAGUAACACGUGGAUAACCUACCUAUAAUACUGGGAUAACUUCGGGAAACCGGAGCUAAUACCGGAUAAUAUUUUGAACCGCAUGGUUCAAAAGUGAAAGACGGUCUUGCUGUCACUUAUAGAUGGAGCCGCGUUGCAUUAGCUAGUUGGUAAGGUAACGGCUUACCAAGGCAACGAUGCAUAGCCGACCUGAGAGGAUGAUCGGCCACACUGGAACUGAGACACGGUCCAGACUCCUACGGGAGGCAGCAGUAGGGAAUCUUCCGCAAUGGGCGAAAGCCUGACGGAGCAACGCCGCGUGAGUGAUGAAGGUCUUCGGAUCGUAAAACUCUGUUAUUAGGGAAGAACAUAUGUGUAAGUAACUGUGCACAUCUUGACGGUACCUAAUCAGAAAGCCACGGCUAACUACGUG